rnacentral:ncRNA from 2 species
AAUAAUAUGCAGGGGAACUUAUUAAGUUGAGAAGGUUGAAACCUGACCCUUUGAACCUGUCGGUUAACACCGUUGUAGGGAAGCAUAGAAAAAUCAUUU